CACGUAGGGGCCAAGCGUUGGUCCGGAUUCAUUGGGCGUAAAGAGCUCGUAGGCGGUUCAGUCAGUCGGGUGUGAAAUCUCCGGGCUCAACUCGGAGGGGCCACCCGAUACUGCUGUGACUCGAGUCCGGUAGGGGAGUGGGGAAUUCCUGGUGUGAGCGGUGGAAAUGACGCAGAUAUCAGGAGGAACACCGGUGGCGAAGGCGGGUCUCUGGGCCGAUACUGACGCUGAGGAGCGAAAGCGUGGGGAGCAAACAGG
rnacentral:rRNA from 1 species